AUUGAACGCUGGCGGCAUGCUUUACACAUGCAAGUCGAACGGGAACAGGCCGCAAGGUGCUGACGAGGGGCGCACGGGGGAGUAAAGCAUCGGAACGUGCCCGGACGUGGGGGAUAACUACUCGUAAGAGUAGGUAAGACCGCAUACGAUCUAUGGAUGAAAGCGGGGGGCCGAAAGGGCUCGCGCGAUUGGAGCGGGCGAUGUAAGAUUAGGUAGUUGGUGGGGUAAAGGGUCACUCAGCGAACGAGCUGUAGCAGGUCUGAGGGGACGACCAGCCACACUGGCACUGAGACACGGCCCAGACUCCUACGGUGGGCAGCAGUGGGGAAUUUUGGACAAUGGGCGCAAGCCUGAUCCAGCAAUGCCGCGUGCAGGAAGAAGGCCUUCGGGUUGUAAACUGCUUUUGUCCGGAACGUAACGGCUCUGGUUAAUACCCGGGGCUAAUGACGGUACCGUAAGAAUAAGCUCCGGCUAACUCCGUG
rnacentral:rRNA from 1 species